GCAGCUUUAAAAUAUGGCCCCAGCUCAGAGACCACCUAUAUAUUUCUUUUAUGCGAGCUGCAUGUCUGGCCAUGUGAAUGGGCUCAGACCAAGACUAUUUGCGAAGGAAGAGUGAGUGUUAACCUGCAGCACACACCUUUUACGUCUCUGAUACAUGUCUGAAUACAGAAUGCGAAUGUAUGACAUCGCAUUACAUGCUGUCUUCAAGAGGCUCUGU